GACGAACGCUGGCGGCGCGCUUAACACAUGCAAGUCGAACGGAAAGGCCUGCUUUCCCUUGUGGAUUGCGGGUACUCGAGUGGCGAACGGGUGAGUAACACGUGAGUGAUCUGCCCCCAACUUGGGUAUAAGCCUGGGAAACUGGGUCUAAUUCCCGAUAGGACUGCAGGGUGGUGCCUGUGGUGGAAAACGAUUUUCUAGUGGUUGGGGAUGAGCUCGCGGCCUAUCAGCUUGUUGGUGGGGUAAUGGCCUACCAAGGCGGCGACGGGUAGCCGGCCUGGGAGGGUGGACGGCCACAUUGGGACUGAGAUACGGCCCAGACUCCGACGGGAGGCAGCAGUGGGGAAUAUUGCACAAUGGGCGGAAGCCUGAUGCAGCGACGCCGCGUGGGGGAUGACGGCCUUCGGGUUGUAAACUCCUUUCGACCGCGAGGAAGCCACCUGGUUGGAAGGGUGGUGACGGUAGUGGUAGAAGAAGCACCGGCUAACUACGUG
rnacentral:rRNA from 1 species